rnacentral:rRNA from 1 species
GAUGAACGCUGGCGGCGUGCUUAACACAUGCAAGUCGAACGAUGAAGCCCAGCUUGCUGGGUGGAUUAGUGGCGAACGGGUGAGUAACACGUGAGUAACCUGCCCUUAACUCUGGGAUAAGCCUGGGAAACUGGGUCUAAUACCGGAUAGGAGCGCCUACCGCAUGGUGGGUGUUGGAAAGAUUUAUCGGUUUUGGAUGGACUCGCGGCCUAUCAGCUUGUUGGUGAGGUAAUGGCUCACCAAGGCGACGACGGGUAGCCGGCCUGAGAGGGUGACCGGCCACACUGGGACUGAGACACGGCCCAGACUCCUACGGGAGGCAGCAGUGGGGAAUAUUGCACAAUGGGCGAAAGCCUGAUGCAGCGACGCCGCGUGAGGGAUGACGGCCUUCGGGUUGUAAACCUCUUUCAGUAGGGAAGAAGCGACAGUGACGGUACCUGCAGAAGAAGCACCGGCUAACUACGUG